GCGUUUUUCUAGCGAGCUUGGGAGGGUGAAAGCCAAGUAAAGCAAAGUAAGAAACUGGCACUUUCUGUUAUAUUUUUAAAAGGAAUGAAGUAAUAAAUUAGGGUGGAACCGCGUUUCUGACG
rnacentral:sRNA from 1 species